AUUGAACGCUGGCGGCAUGCUUUACACAUGCAAGUCGAACGGCAGCACGGGCUUCGGCCUGGUGGCGAGUGGCGAACGGGUGAGUAAUAUAUCGGAACGUACCCAGAAGUGGGGGAUAACGUAGCGAAAGUUACGCUAAUACCGCAUACGAUCUAUGGAUGAAAGCAGGGGACCGCAAGGCCUUGUGCUCCUGGAGCGGCCGAUACCUGAUUAGCUAGUUGGUGAGGUAAAGGCUCACCAAGGCGACGAUCAGUAGCUGGUCUGAGAGGACGACCAGCCACACUGGAACUGAGACACGGUCCAGACUCCUACGGGAGGCAGCAGUGGGGAAUUUUGGACAAUGGGCGCAAGCCUGAUCCAGCAAUGCCGCGUGAGUGAAGAAGGCCUUCGGGUUGUAAAGCUCUUUUGUCAGGGAAGAAACGGUAGAGGCUAAUAUCCUGUGCUAAUGACGGUACCUGAAGAAUAAGCACCGGCUAACUACGUG
rnacentral:rRNA from 1 species